rnacentral:rRNA from 1 species
AGACUGAACCAGCCAUGCCGCGUGCAGGAUGAAGGUUCUAUGAAUCGUAAACUGCUUUUCUAAGGGAAGAAACCUAUCCUCGUGAGGGUAGUUGCCGGUACUUUAGGAAUAAGCAUCGGCUAACUCCGUGCCAGCAGCCGCGGUAAUA